UGGAAUAGCUGGUGCUGGUGCUGGAGUGGCUGGUGCUGGUGCUGGUGUUGGCGCUGGUGUUGCUGGUGCUGGUGCAGGUGCAGGUACUUCCUUAGCUGGUGAUGGUGAUGGUGUCUCUUUUGCAGGGGCUGGUGCUGGAGCUGGAGACACUCGUGGUGGAGGUAAGGAAGGCGGUGGUGUAGCUGGUGGUAAAGAAGGCGGUGGUGUAGCUGGUGGUGGUGGCAGUGCUGGUGUUUGUAUUGGAGCUGCAGUUGGAGGACUUUGCAGUGGUUGUGGAGGUGGAACUAUUGGGCUGGUAGCUGGUGCUACUUUAGGAGACGGUGGUGAUAUAGGAGUGGUUGCAGGUGGGAGUGUCAUUGCACUUAUUGGUGAUUGUGCUGGUGUGGUUGAAGGUGGAGGCGUAGUGGUUGUAGGUGCAGGUGUAGCGGGUGAAGUUGUUGAUGGCGAUGCUGCUGGUGUUUGGGCAUCGGUAAUAGCUAAUGGGAAACUCAGACAAGCCACGAUGAGAGCCCAAAGCACCAAGGCCAUUUUGUUGUAAUGAGAAGUAAC
rnacentral:lncRNA from 1 species